GAGGUGAUGAGACGUUAUGAUGAGGUGAUGAGACAUUAUUAUGAGGUGAUGAGACAUUAUGAUGAGGUGAUGAGACAUUAUUAUGAGGUGAUUAGACAGUAUGAUGAGGUGAUGAGGCAUUAUUAUGAGGUGAUGAGACAUUGUGAUGAGACAUUAUUACGAGGUGAUGAGACAUUGUAAUGAGACAUUAUUAUGAGGUGAUGAGACAUUAUGAUGAGAUGAUGAGACAUUAUUAUGAGGUGAUGAGACAUUAUGAUGAGGUGAUGAGACAUUAUUAUGAGAUGAUGAGACAGUAUGAUGAGAC
rnacentral:lncRNA from 1 species